AUACGUAGGGGGCGAGCGUUGUCCGGAAUGAUUGGGCGUAAAGGGCGCGUAGGCGGCGCGGUAAGGCUGGAGUGAAAGUCCUGCUUUCAAGGUGGGAAUUGCUUUGGAUACUGCCGCGCUUGAGUGCAGGAGAGGUUAUCGGAAUUCCCGGUGUAGCGGUGAAAUGCGUAGAUAUCCGGAGGAACACCAGUGGCGAAGGGGGCCUCCUGGCCCAUUUCUGACGCUCAGACACGAAAGCUAAGGUAGCAAACGGGAUUAGAGACCCCGGUAGUCUUAGCUGUAAACGAUGUGAACUUAGUGUCGGCGGGUUUAAAUCCGUCGGUACUGAAGCAAACGCGAUAAGUUCACCGCCUGGGGACUACGGCCGCAAGGUUAAAACUCAAAGGAAUUGACGGGG
rnacentral:rRNA from 1 species